UAUUAAAAUACAAUACAGGCUACUUGACCACUAUUGAGAAAAAAACAAAAAACCUUCAACUUUUGUUUUAAAACAUUCAAGGAAAGGGGUGCCUGGGUGGCUCAGUCGGUUGAGCAUCCGACUUUGGCUCAGGUCAUGGUUUCAUGGUUCCUGAGUUUGAGCCCUGUGUUGGGCUCACUGCUGUCAGUGCGGAUCCUCUGUCCUGCCCUCCACCCCUCCCCCACUCACUCUUUCAAAAAUAAAUAAAACAUUUUGAAAAAAACCACUCAAGUGAAGAUGUUGACUUGUCUGAAAUUCACAGGGAUGAUAAAAAGUAGCAAUAUGCAUCUAGUAUUCACUGACAUAUUGAUGGUGUUUAAAGCCAUGAGAAGAGAAGGGACCGCUAAAAGGUGAGCAUAAACAGGAAAGGGACCAAGAAUAGAAAGAGAGAGGUUUGGGGGUUUUGGGGUUUUUUUUUUUUUGUUUUUUUUUUUUGCUUUUUUGUUUUUUAUUAAAUAGUUAAUGUAAUCCUCUUGAAAUUAGCAGUAAUUACAGAUGCCAUUUAUUGAACCUGGCACUGAGGUGUUCCAUGCAUCUCACUGAAUUCAUCCAACAGUAUCACAAGACAAACUGAGGCUGACAAGGGAAGUGCACGCAAAGAGGAACUUUAGGAAGAGAUGAGCAGAAGGGAACAUUAAGAAUGGAUGAGAACAGCAGAGUGAAGGAAACUGCUGAGGCGGGGCACAGUUUACAGGUGUGGGUGCACAUAGGAGCGGAAAAGACUGAAGAGCAACAAGGGUGAAGGCGGACAGGAGAGGAAGGGCCUUCAGGGUGUGCAUCCAACGUGGACUUUGUGGCAUGACCAGCAUCCAAAUGGAAGAAGUGAAAAAUGUUUCCCAAGACCUCUAGGACCCCAUUCGUUUGCAUGAUCAGUGAGUGGGCUCACCUCCUGGCUGUGGACAAUAUCUCCAGAUCCUUUCAAGGAUACGGGCUCAAGCCACAUGUAAGGAAGAAAAUCUACAAAUCAAGUCAAAGGCUUUUUGUCUGCAAAGCCCCUAUUCUGCCCUCCACACAAUGCAGCCUCCCAGACCCCAGAGUCAUAAUAUAAGCCAAGAGUGACCGGGACGUAGUCUCUUGAGGACCUACUGAAGGAGGAUUUGAUGUGGAGACCAGGUGAGUGAAGAAAAGUGCUGUUUCUUUCUUUCUUUUUUUUUCUUUAAUUAUAGUGUUGUAAUUUUUUUUAUUUUAUUUUUUAAGUUUAUUUACUUUGAGAGAGUGCCUGCAUGUGCUCAUACACAUAUGCUCAGGGGAGGGGGAGAGAGAGAGAGGGAGAGAGAGAAUCCCAAGCAGAGCUCGACACAGGGCUCGAUCUCAUUGAACUGAGAUCACUUGAUCGCUUGAUCAAGUCAAGAGUUGGAUGCUUAACUGACUGAGUCACCCAGGCACCCCGGAAGUGCUGCUUCUGAGAAGGAGGAAGGGAAGAUGACAGGAAGAUGGGGUGAGCAAGGAGAAAAGAGGAUGUGGUAGAAAAAAAAUCACACUUAAUGCUCAGAGAGCGCUUCUUAUGUGUCAGACACUGUCUUGAAUGCUUUCCUUCUAUUAAUUUCAUUUUUGGGUAUGGAAACAGACGCCCAAGAUCACACGGCUGGUUAAUGGCAGGCAGCGCACGUCCAGAGCCCAAAACUUAACCAGUGUUGUGCACAGGGAAAGAACGGGGAUAGAAAGAGGCACCGCUCUUCUGAUGGGGGCUAGAAAAGAAGAGGCCGGACGAAGUUAGAGCUUCUAAAGCCAAGGCCCUGUUCUAUUGGGCUGGGCUCCUCCUCAGAAUUACACAAAAGUUCUGGGAUCUUCUGGACCCCACGACACAAAGAAAACGUCUCUGAUAAUCCAUCUGUGCCUAAAACCACUGUGAUGGUGCAUUAGUUAAGAAUGUGUGACCUACACGUAGGAGAAUCUCUGAGUGAUGGUGCCUUCGGCUACAAAGUUAUGUAGUUAUUUCA